UACGUAGGGGGCAAGCGUUGUCCGGAAUUAUUGGGCGUAAAGCGCGCGCAGGCGGUUGAUUAAGUUUGGUGUUUAAGCCCGGGGCUCAACCCCAGUUCGCACUGAAAACUGAUCGACUUGAGUGUAGGAGAGGAAAGUGGAAUUCCACGUGUAGCGGUGAAAUGCGUAGAGAUGUGGAGGAACACCAGUGGCGAAGGCGACUUUCUGGCCUAGUAACUGACGCUGAGGCGGACGAAAGCGUGGGGAGCAAACAGGG
rnacentral:rRNA from 1 species